UUUACUUCUUGGAAAUUUUUUAAUUACAAUCACCGGGUGCCAAUUACAAGACCUCAAUCAUGAGAAAAUUCAACUUAUAUGCUGCAAUUUUUUUUUUUUUUUUAAUUUUGUACCGUCUAUUUAAACAAUCCGACAAGAAAUUGCGGUUUAAUUGGUCUUUGUUUAAUUUUUAUUGACUAUCAAAGCUUAAAAUCGGUAAAUAAAGUCAUAUGUUCGAUGGUCGCCAUUUUUCUGCCAGAAGCGCUAAUAAAAAAAGCGGCAAAUUUAAAUUGUUUUUGAUAAAUAAUGAUCUUUUUCCCUCAUAAAUUUUCGAUGGAAGUUUUCUUGUAAUAAUAAAGAUAUUGGGAACAAAAAUGAUAGACCCUAUUGUAUAUAAGAGUAUAUAUAUAUAAAUUUAUUACGAGAGCUAACGUAACCCGACGUGUCACUUUUGAUUUAAGAAAUUUACUUUGAGCACGAAGAGAAAAAUCCCGUAGAGAAUACACACAAUUUUUCAUAUUAUAUAUUAUACAAUAUAAUAUCUCUUGAUAUAUAAUUCGAGUACUGUAGUUUGCUAUUCUUUACUUAACAACGUCGAGGGUCAUAUACUUCUUCGAAGUAUCUUAUAUUAUAUUUUAUCCAUAUUUUAUUUCAUUACUUUUCCACUUGUCGAGUUUACCGUAAAAUAAUAGUACCCUCGACAAGAAAAAUUUCUACUUACAUAUAUGGAACUUUUUACCUUAAACUUUAUCAGCAAAUGCUCCACUACGUGACAAGUUACUUCAUGAUCCUCGACGUUUUUUU